rnacentral:lncRNA from 1 species
UUCUCGAUUUAAUAUCGAGCCCAUUUUUUACACCCUUGUAAGUCGAUUGCUUUUAAGCAUCGCCAUCAACCUCACAUAGCUUACUCUUGGGCUUUCUUACAAUGAGCCGGUUCCCUUACACUUACACGUUGUUUAAUGCUCAUUUAUUUCUUUUCUUUGAUUAUUUGAUUUGAUCACAUGUUUGUUUAAAUAUUUUACUUGUGUGAUUAACUGUGGCCUACUUGUAUGGUGUAUGAGGCAUAUACUUAUAUUGU